rfam:Halomonas elongata DSM 2581, complete genome
ACUCGCUUGACGGGGUGCCGGUUGAGCCGGCUGAGAUGACGCGCGUUCGCGACGAACACAGCGUUGAUCCCGUGGAACCUGAUCCGGGUAGGUGCGCCAUCGCGCACGUGAACCGGCGUAGGGAAUCAGGCGGUGGACUCGA